rnacentral:rRNA from 1 species
UGCAAGUCGAGGGGCAGCGCGGGAUAGCAAUAUCUUGGCGGCGACCGGCGGAAGGGUGCGUAACGCGUGAGCGACAUGCCCGUUGCCCGGGGACAACCGGUGGAAACGCCGACUAAUCCCCCGAUGGGAUACGAUGCCCCAUGGCAUUGUAUUGAGAGUUACGGCGGCGACGGAUUGGCUCGCGUCCGAUUAGCUGGUUGGCGGGGUAACGGCCCACCAAGGCUACGAUCGGUAGGGGUUCUGAGAGGAAGGCCCCCCCACAAUGGGACUGAGACACGGCCCAUACUCC